rnacentral:rRNA from 1 species
GGGUUGUGAGGUUAAGCGACUAAGCGUACACGGUGGAUGCCCUGGCAGUCAGAGGCGAUGAAGGACGUGCUAAUCUGCGAAAAGCGUCGGUAAGGUGAUAUGAACCGUUAUAACCGGCGAUGUCCGAAUGGGGAAACCCAGUGCAAUUCGUUGCACUAUCGUUAACUGAAUACAUAGGUUAACGAGGCGAACCGGGGGAACUGAAACAUCUAAGUACCCCGAGGAAAAGAAAUCAACCGAGAUUCCCCCAGUAGCGGCGAGCGAACGGGGAGCAGCCCAGAGUCUGAAUCAGCUUGUGUGUUAGUGGAACGGUCUGGAAAGUCCGACGGUACAGGGUGAUAGUCCCGUACACCAAAAUGCACAGGCUGUGAACUCGAAGAGUAGGGCGGGACACGUGGUAUCCUGUCUGAAUAUGGGGGGACCAUCCUCCAAGGCUAAAUACUCCUGACUGACCGAUAGUGAACCAGUACCGUGAGGGAAAGGCGAAAAGAACCCCGGCGAGGGGAGUGAAAAAGAACCUGAAACCGUGUACGUACAAGCAGUGGGAGCACCUUCGGGUGUGACUGCGUACCUUUUGUAUAAUGGGUCAGCGACUUAUAUUCUGUAGCAAGGUUAACCGUAUAGGGGAGCCGCAGGGAAACCGAGUCUUAACUGGGCGUUAAGUUGCAGGGUAUAGACCCGAAACCCGGUGAUCUAGCCAUGGGCAGGUUGAAGGUUGGGUAACACUAACUGGAGGACCGAACCGACUAAUGUUGAAAAAUUAGCGGAUGACUUGUGGCUGGGGGUGAAAGGCCAAUCAAACCGGGAGAUAGCUGGUUCUCCCCGAAAGCUAUUUAGGUAGCGCCUCGUGAAUUCAUCUUCGGGGGUAGAGCACUGUUUCGGCUAGGGGGUCAUCCCGACUUACCAACCCGAUGCAAACUACGAAUACCGAAGAAUGUUAUCACGGGAGACACACGGCGGGUGCUAACGUCCGUCGUGAAGAGGGGAAACAACCCAGACCGCCAGCUAAGGUCCCAAAGUCAUGGUUAAGUGGGAAACGAUGUGGGAAGGCACAGACAGCCAGGAUGUUGGCUUAGAAGCAGCCAUCAUUUAAAGAAAGCGUAAUAGCUCACUGGUCGAGUCGGCCUGCGCGGAAGAUGUAACGGGGCUAAACCAUGCACCGAAGCUGCGGCAGCGACACUAUGUGUUGUUGGGUAGGGGAGCGUUCUGUAAGCCUGCGAAGGUGACCUGUGAGGGUUGCUGGAGGUAUCAGAAGUGCGAAUGCUGACAUAAGUAACGAUAAAGCGGGUGAAAAGCCCGCUCGCCGGAAGACCAAGGGUUCCUGUCCAACGUUAAUCGGGGCAGGGUGAGUCGACCCCUAAGGCGAGGCCGAAAGGCGUAGUCGAUGGGAAACAGGUUAAUAUUCCUGUACUUGGUGUUACUGCGAAGGGGGGACGGAGAAGGCUAUGUUAGCCGGGCGACGGUUGUCCCGGUUUAAGCAUGUAGGCUGGUUAUCCAGGCAAAUCCGGAUAAUCAAGGCUGAGGUGUGAUGACGAGGCACUACGGUGCUGAAGUAACAAAUGCCCUGCUUCCAGGAAAAGCCUCUAAGCAUCAGGUAACAUCAAAUCGUACCCCAAACCGACACAGGUGGUCAGGUAGAGAAUACCAAGGCGCUUGAGAGAACUCGGGUGAAGGAACUAGGCAAAAUGGUGCCGUAACUUCGGGAGAAGGCACGCUGGUGUGUAGGUGAAGUCCCUGCGGAUGGAGCUGAGACCAGUCGAAGAUACCAGCUGGCUGCAACUGUUUAUUAAAAACACAGCACUGUGCAAACACGAAAGUGGACGUAUACGGUGUGACGCCUGCCCGGUGCCGGAAGGUUAAUUGAUGGGGUUAUCCGUAAGGAGAAGCUCUUGAUCGAAGCCCCGGUAAACGGCGGCCGUAACUAUAACGGUCCUAAGGUAGCGAAAUUCCUUGUCGGGUAAGUUCCGACCUGCACGAAUGGCGUAAUGAUGGCCAGGCUGUCUCCACCCGAGACUCAGUGAAAUUGAACUCGCUGUGAAGAUGCAGUGUACCCGCGGCAAGACGGAAAGACCCCGUGAACCUUUACUAUAGCUUGACACUGAACAUUGAGCCUUGAUGUGUAGGAUAGGUGGGAGGCUUUGAAGCGUGGACGCCAGUCUGCGUGGAGCCAACCUUGAAAUACCACCCUUUAAUGUUUGAUGUUCUAACGUUGGCCCCUUACCGGGGUUGCGGACAGUGUCUGGUGGGUAGUUUGACUGGGGCGGUCUCCUCCCAAAGCGUAACGGAGGAGCACGAAGGUUAGCUAAUCCUGGUCGGACAUCAGGAGGUUAGUGCAAUGGCAUAAGCUAGCUUGACUGCGAGCGUGACGGCGCGAGCAGGUGCGAAAGCAGGUCAUAGUGAUCCGGUGGUUCUGAAUGGAAGGGCCAUCGCUCAACGGAUAAAAGGUACUCCGGGGAUAACAGGCUGAUACCGCCCAAGAGUUCAUAUCGACGGCGGUGUUUGGCACCUCGAUGUCGGCUCAUCACAUCCUGGGGCUGAAGUAGGUCCCAAGGGUAUGGCUGUUCGCCAUUUAAAGUGGUACGCGAGCUGGGUUUAGAACGUCGUGAGACAGUUCGGUCCCUAUCUGCCGUGGGCGCUGGAGAAUUGAGGGGGGCUGCUCCUAGUACGAGAGGACCGGAGUGGACGCAUCACUGGUGUUCGGGUUGUCAUGCCAAUGGCACUGCCCGGUAGCUAAAUGCGGAAGAGAUAAGUGCUGAAAGCAUCUAAGCACGAAACUUGCCCCGAGAUGAGUUCUCCCUGAGACUUUAAGUCUCCUGAAGGAACGUUGAAGACGACGACGUUGAUAGGCCGGGUGUGUAAGCGCAGCGAUGCGUUGAGCUAACCGGUACUAAUGAACCGUGAGGCUUAACCUUACAACGCCGAAG